UACGAAGGGGGCGAGCGUUGUUCGGAUUUGCUGGGCGUAAAGGGCGCGCAGGCGGCUUUGUUUGUCAGGCGUGAAAGCCCCGGGCUUAACCUGGGAACUGCGUUUGAUACGGCAGGGCUAGAGUUCGGGAGAGGAGCGUGGAAUUCCCAGUGUAGAGGUGAAAUUCGUAGAUAUUCGCAAGAACACCAGUGGCGAAGGCGGCUCACUGGCCCGAUACUGACGCUGGGGCACGAAAGCGUGGGGAGCAAACAGG
rnacentral:rRNA from 1 species